ACUCCCAUCACCUUCAACACCAACAUGUUCUCUGCAGCUCUUCUGCUGCUGCUGCUGGCUGCUGCAUCCUGGGUGAAGUGUGAACAGUUGACACAGCCGGCCUCUUUGACUGUGCAGUCAGGCCAGCGUCUGACCAUCACAUGUCAGGUUUCUUAUUCUUUUGGUAGCCACUAUGGAGCUUGGAUCAGACAACCUGCUGGAAAAGGACUGGAGUGGAUUGGGAGUAAAAAGAAUCUAAGAAGUAAACCCUGGAGAAACAGUCAGUAGACUGAUCAGAA